ACGGGAGGCAGCAGCUAAGAAUAUUCCGCAAUGGACGAAAGUCUGACGGAGCGACGCCGCGUGGAUGAUGAAGGUCGGAAGAUUGUAAAAUCCUUUUAAGUAUGAAGAAUAAGCAUGUCAGGUAAUGGGCGUGCGGUGACGGUAGUACUUGAAUAAGCAACCGCUAAUUACGUGCCAGCAGCCGCGGUAAUACGUAAGUUGCGAGCGUUGUUCGGAAUUAUUGGGCGUAAAGGGCAUGUAGGCGGAUAUGCAAGCUUGGUGUGAAAGGCGGGAGCUUAACUCCCGGACUGCGUUGAGAACUGCAUAACUAGAGUGACUGAGAGGCAGGCAGAAUUCCAGGUGUAGGGGUGAAAUCUGUAGAUAUCUGGAAGAAUACCAAUGGCGAAGGCAGCCUGCCAGCAGAUGACUGACGCUGAGGUGCGAAGGUGCGGGGAGCAAACAGGAUUAGAUACCCUGGUA
rnacentral:rRNA from 1 species